rnacentral:rRNA from 1 species
GAACGAGAAAGUGGAGCAAUCCAUGAGUAAAGUGGCGCACGGGUGAGUAACACGCGACUAACCUACCUUUUAGUGGGGGAUAACCUAGGGAAACCUGGGCUAAUACCGCAUAACACUUACGAGUCAAAGCAGCAAUGCGCUGAAAGAGGGGGUCGCGGUCGAUUAGUUAGUUGGCAGGGUAAUGGCCUACCAAGACUGUGAUCGAUAUCCGGCCUGAGAGGGCGCACGGACACACUGGAACUGAAACACGGUCCAGACUCCUACGGGAGGCAGCAGUGGGGAAUUUUGCGCAAUGGGGGAAACCCUGACGCAACAACGCCGCGUGGAGGAUGAAGUCCCUUGGGACGUAAACUCCUUUCGAUCGGGAAGAUUAUGACGGUACCGGAAGAAGAAGCCCCGGCUAACUUCGUGCCAGCAGCCGCGGUAAUACGAGGGGGGCAAGCGUUGUUCGGAAUUAUUGGGCGUAAAGGGUGCGUAGGUGGUUCGGCAAGUCUUGUGUGAAAUCUUCAGGCUCAACUUGAAGUCUGCACAAGAAACUGCCGGGCUUGAGUAUGGGAGAGGUGAGUGGAAUUUCCGGUGUAGCGGUGAAAUGCGUAGAUAUCGGAAGGAACACCUGUGGCGAAAGCGGCUCACUGGACCAUUACUGACACUGAGGCACGAAAGCUAGGGGAGCAAACAGGAUUAGAUACCCUGGUAGUCCUAGCCCUAACGAUGAUCGCUUGGUGUGGCGGGUAUCCAACCCUGCCGUGCCGAAGCUAACGCGUUAAGCGAUCCGCCUGGGGAGUACGGUCGCAAGGCUGAAACU